CCAAAUUAUUGAGUAAUAUAUAAGACUAUAAGUAAGAAAAUAAAUAUAUCAUUGAAAAUAAUUGGUUUCACAAUCUUUGUUGCGAGCAAAUAGAACCAAAAAGCGCGGCAAAAUAAAAUAGUAAAGACCGGCUCGUAACAUUAUAUCAGAAAGAUUUAAUAUAUAGGGUAGCUUUCCACAAUGUACAAAAUGUCAGUGAUACUAACACUACUUUCAGAACCAGGUUGAUGCGAAAAGAAGGCACCACUAAGGUAAUCUUAGAUCUACAUAAUAGUCUACAGUAUACAUUUGUACGCUAUUGCACAAAUCGCUGGCGUGAGAGGGGCAGGGGCGAAACUAGCCCCUUUUAAUUAGGGGGUGUCUGCUAGAAUUGCCCUGCGAAAGCCGAUGAUGCCCUGCAGCAAGUUUUUUUUUU